UUUUGGGAAGUCUUUUUGAUAGUGGUAUUUAAAUAAAAUAUUUUCAGCAAAGCAACUUCACUAAUUUGAGGACUUGUUGUACAAAUCCUAACUCAGUGGUUUUAGAAAACCUUAAUUAAAUAAUGCUUUUUGGCAAGAUAAUAUUUGGUAAAAAUAUUUUUAGGUCCUAUUACAUGGUAUGGCCAUUGGGCAAAGACUUUGGUUCAAGGAGGUAACUCGAGAGAGUAGUAGGAACUUGUGAUUUUAAAACACAUGCAAUCAAGAAAACAAGCAACAAUCACAUCAAGCAUCACAAGCACUCACAACAAAUUUAAUUGUUCCUAAUUUUUGAGAUAUGCUAAUUAGUCACGAUAUCAAAACACAGG
rnacentral:lncRNA from 1 species